rnacentral:rRNA from 1 species
UACGAAGGGGGCUAGCGUUGCUCGGAAUCACUGGGCGUAAAGCGCACGUAGGCGGAUCUUUAAGUCAGGGGUGAAAUCCCAAGGCUCAACCUUGGAACUGCCUUUGAUACUGGGGAUCUCGAGUCCGGAAGAGGUGAGUGGAACUGCGAGUGUAGAGGUGAAAUUCGUAGAUAUUCGCAAGAACACCAGUGGCGAAGGCGGCUCACUGGUCCGGUACUGACGCUGAGGAGCGAAAGCGUGGGGAGCGAACGAGG